rnacentral:sRNA from 1 species
UAAGGUCCUGAUCUCACUUCUGAUGUAA